UAUCAUUUUAGCCAAAAUCCCGAAACGGUAAUGGGUUUCGUUGGCACAGCGGCCUAAAGGUGACAUCAUAUCGGCAGAGUUUACAGGGGAAUUCACUGGAUCACAAGCAGAUGAGAAAGGCUACAAGAGACAGUAACAUCAGGACGGCUGUUUAGGGUUAAACAUCAAGAAAGAAUGAAGAUUGCAACUAUAUUCUGUCUUUUUGUCUGCUUCACUGUGAGUUGUGCAGCUGAUCUCAAGCCAGGUGGGGCUGGAGAUGCGAUCAAGCAGCUUGGAGAAUCAAGAAUUGAUAGCAUAGUAGAAACAGUAUGCCGUGAUCAUAUACCAGUCGAAGCUUGCAGGGUAUACGUGGCACUGAAAUACUGCCCUUACUCGCAAUGCAUCCCUAGGUAUGGAGCAAAAGCCCGUUAUAUGUGUAAACAAGUGAUUCACGAUUUAAAAAGUGUAUGUGCAAAGACGUGCGGAUACUGCUGAAAAGACAUCAUCCUAAACACACCAUCGAAGACGCUUUAAACCGGAUGCCUUUUGUAAUUUUUGCUAAAGCCUAUUGGCUUAAUAUAUGCAAUUGUUGUGUUAAAACAUUUACUAGAUUAGAUUCAUGUCUUGUGCAUGCAAAAAGCCAAGGCUUCAUAGCAUGACCCGCACCAGCAGUGAUAUACAGGGGGGGGGGGG